CAGCGGUGCAGCCGGCCUUCCUCUGGGCAGGCCCCCAGGGCUGACCCAGGGCCUGCCGGCCGCGAUCCAGGGGACCAGGCCUCUCGCUGCCCAGAGACCGGAGCCAGGAUGAACACCAGGGAGCCCCCCUCCCCCCCUUUAACAAGUCCUGGGGCGCCUGGUGGCUCCGUCCGCGGAGAGGCUGACUCCUGACUUAAGCUCAGGGUUCUCGUAUGCAAAGCACCGACGGACACAGCCUUUCUGCCGACCUUAGGCCCGAGUCACCCAGGGGUCAGGAUUCAGACAGUGACAGACUCCAAGGCCGGUUACUCCGACGGCAUCCUGUUCCAGGCGGGGCCUGGUGUCUCUCUCCCGGCCGCGAGCACUGCAGUCACAUCUCCAGGGCCCCACGUGUGGUUGACUUCCGUGUCCUGGGCCUGUACCUUCUCGCAUUUUAACAAGAGGGAAUUUCAGUUUUAAACAGAAA